GAUGAAGAACGUAGCGAAAUGCGAUAAGUAGUGUGAAUUGCAGAAUUCAGUGAAUCAUCGAAUCUUUGAACGCACAUUGCGCCCCUUGGUAUUCCAUGGGGCAUGCCUGUUCGAGCGUCAUUUGUACCUUCAAGCUCUGCUUGGUGUUGGGUGUUUGUCUCGCCUCUGCGUGUGGACUCGCCUCAAAACAAUUGGCAGCCGGCGUAUUGAUUUCGGAGCGCAGUACAUCUCGCGCUUUGCACUCAUAACGACGACGUCCAAAAGUACAUUUUUACACUCUUGACCUCGGAUCAGGUAGGGAUACCCGCUGAACUUAAGCAUAUCAAUAAGCGGAGGA
rnacentral:misc_RNA from 1 species